rnacentral:rRNA from 1 species
CCUACGGGCGGCAGCAGUGAGGAAUAUUGGUCAAUGGCCGAGAGGCUGAACCAGCCAAGUCGCGUGAGGGAAGACGGCCCUACGGGUUGUAAACCUCUUUUGUCGGGGAACAAAGGCGUCCACGUGUGGACUGAUGAGUGUACCCGAAGAAAAAGCAUCGGCUAACUCCGUGCCAGCAGCCGCGGUAAUCCGGAGGAUGCGGGCGUUAUCCGGAUUUCUUGGGUUUAAAGGGUGCGUAGGCGGACAGUCAAGUCAGCGGUAAAAAUGCGGUGCUCAACGCCGUACAGCCGUUGAAACUGGCAGUCUUGAGUGGGCGAGAAGUAUGCGGAAUGCGUGGUGUAGCGGUGAAAUGCAUAGAUAUCACGCAGAACUCCGAUUGCGAAGGCAGCAUACCGGCGCCCGACUGACGCUGAGGCACGAAAGCGUGGGUAUCGAACAGGAUUAGAUACCCGGGUAGUC